rnacentral:rRNA from 1 species
CCCUUAGGUGUUCUGGGCCGCACGCGCGCUACACUGAUGCAUUCAACGAGUUUCUUCCUGGUCCGAGAGGAAUGGGUAACCUUUUGAAAGUGCAUCGUGAUAGGGAUAGACUAUUGCAAUUAUUGGUCUUCAACGAGGAAUUCCUAGUAGACGUAGUUCAUCAGACUGCAUCGAUUACGUCCCUGCCCUUUGUACACACCGCCCGUCACUCCUACCGAUUGAAUGCUCAGGUGAGCCAUUCGGACUUUCAUCAUGCUGGUUUCCAGUUUUGAUGAAGGAAAGUCUUGCGAACCUUAUCAUUUAGAGGAAGGAGAAGUCGUAACA